UUUCCGUAGGUGAACCUGCGGAAGGAGCAUUACAGAGUUCAUGCCCUCACGGGUAGAUCUCCCACCCUUGAAUAUUUAUACCUUAGUUGCUUUGGCAGGCCGUGGAAACACCAUGGGCUCCGGCUUAUGCGUGCCUGCCAGAGGAAACAAACUCUGUUUUUAGUGAUGUCUGAGUACUAUAUAAUAGUUAAAACUUUUAACAACGGAUCUCUUGGUUCUG
rnacentral:misc_RNA from 1 species